rnacentral:rRNA from 1 species
UCUGCCUUUGUACACACCGCCCGUCGCUCCUACCGAUUGAAUGGUCCGGUGAAGUUUUCGGAUUGCGGCGACGCCGGCGGUUCGCCGCCGGUGACGUUGUGAGAAGUUUAUUAAACCUUAUCAUUUAGAGGAAGGAGAAGUCGUAACAAGGUUUCCGUAGGUGAACCUGCGGAAGGAUCAUUG